rnacentral:rRNA from 1 species
AUGAACGCUAGCGGGAGGCUUAAUACAUGCAAGUCGAACGGUAACAGCAGAGCUUGCUCUGGCUGACGAGUGGCGCACGGGUGAGUAACGCGUACGCAACCUACCCUCCACCGGGGCAUAGUCACGGGAAACUGUGAAUAAUUCCGUAUGAGUUCCGACAGUCGCAUGACAGUCGGGAUAAAGUUUUGGCGGUAGAGGAUGGGCGUGCGUCUGAUUAGUUAGUUGGUGAGGUAACGGCUCACCAAGGCGACGAUCAGUAGGGGGCGUGAGAGCGUGACCCCCCACACGGGUACUGAGACACGGACCCGACUCCUACGGGAGGCAGCAGUAAGGAAUAUUGGACAAUGGGCGGAAGCCUGAUCCAGCCAUCCCGCGUGCAGGACGAAGGCCCUCUGGGUUGUAAACUGCUUUUAUCAGGGAAGAAACCCCCCGAAUGCUUGGGGGCUGACGGUACCUGAGGAAUAAGCACCGGCUAACUCCGU